ACCCACUCAGCAUAGUCCAUGCGAGUGAGCAUGGGGUACUGCGCGCCGCCGACGUCCCGCACCGUCUUCUUCACGACGUACGUCGUCUGGCGCCCACGGCCACGCUCCUGAGAACGCCCGCGCCCAUGCUCACGAUCCAGGGAAGCCAUGGCCACCAAGCUCGAACACUCAAGCUCUGAUACCACUUGUUGGCACUCCCUCACACACACAACACCCUCUUGCUUGCAGGUAGAGGAAGAAGAUGAGAGGAAGAAGGACUCAGGAAGAGCACACAAAGUGGAGCUGCUUAAGACUCUGAGCUGCAGCUACUCUCCUCUUUAUAGACACACCGGUCAUAGUGAGAAUUUACAAGGCAUGACUCUACAGUACAAUGCAGCCAUGACUAUUACAUGUACAGCCAUCUACUGCUACCAUGCUGCAACUUGCAGCGGCUACUAUGCACAACAGUCAUUUGCCGCCCAAGAGUAAAUGACAGGCUUGACUGAGUAUAAGCUAGUGCUGCUACUACUACUAGGUAUGGAAAAAGCAAGCAUGAGCAUGAGUAAUUAUCUAUCACUCGUCAGUCGGUGCGCAUUGCUUACGAUUACCUUCUUGAUUAAUCUACUAACUUGAUAUGUGCUAAAAAUUGCACCCAUCUGGUUGUUGUUUAUUGGGCCAAGUUUCAUAAUUGUUUUGACCAUUUCUGAUGUAUGAUCACAAUGGGGACAAAACCAUCCUUUGCUGUAUGACCGUGUCCUGAAGUACCCAGAGCGUGUCCAAAAUAUGUAUUUCACCUAUCUGUUUGUUCUUUGAGCGGUGACAAAGGCAGCAGAUUAUCGUGAGCAGGCUGAGUACAGUACUGGCAAUCCUGAAGACGACUUGAGAACACAAUCUCUUGUGAGGCAAUUGGUUUACCAUCCCAAGUUGAGAUCUGCAUGCCCAAAACCUUUUGAUGAAGCGAAACUCUGUCAAGGCAUCAAUGUUCCUGAGCUAAAGCAAGACAUUCAGAAGCAAUUUAGAAACAUUAGUGCAGUUAUGGACUGCGUUGGCUGUGAGAAGUGCCGACUAUGGGGAAACCUCCAAGUUCUUGGUCUCGGAACUGCACUGAAUUUUUUUCUCUGUUAAUGGAGAUAGCAAUUUGAAUCAGCCUGUAUGUGAUUCAUUUCCCUGUCUCAUUCUGAUUACAACUUUCCAACUUGGUGUCGUGAGAAACAGAUGCUGUACAUUUGUUGCCCUUUGCACAAAUAACUGUUCAUUUUUAGAUAUUGUCAUCAUGUUAGAGUUCCUAGCGCCUAAUUCGUGGUUGCUUACAUUUCUAGCGUCCUAAAAAAUUGUUUACGAAUGAACCGUGAGUUCUGUGCUAAAUUCCUACUAGAACCGAUUAAUGCAUUGUGAAUUCUUCUUCAGUUGAGGACAAUGUGAUUUUAUUCUAAAACCAUUAGUAUACCUUUUGAACUUAUUAUGUAUGUUUACAGUGGUUUAACAAUACUUCCUUCCUGGUGAUCGCUCAGUUGCAGCUGCA